rnacentral:lncRNA from 1 species
UACGACGAUUGGCGCUUACGUGGAAAUAGCGAGGCCCGCGUUCUUUUCGUCGUUAUUUCCUCGUAAGUUAAUGAGGAACUAGCGACGAUUAUGCUUAAAUCCCUAAAAUCCGAAACCCCAUACCCCAUCUUCCUUAUCUUCUACUUCAUAUAUUCCAAACCUCAAACUCAUCUUCCCUUUAAUCUCAAUUUAUUCUUUCCAUUCCAAACUCCUAACUUUAAAACCACAAUUUUUUAACUUAUAAUCUCAAUCUUUUAUUUCUAAUACAAACUCUCGUACCUUACACAAAGUCAAAUUAAUUCCAUUCCAAACCCCA